rnacentral:rRNA from 1 species
AGAGUUUGAUCCUGGCUCAGAUUGAACGCUGGCGGAAUGCUUUACACAUGCAAGUCGAACGGCAGCACGGACUUCGGUCUGGUGGCGAGUGGCGAACGGGUGAGUAAUGCAUCGGAACGUACCGAGUAAUGGGGGAUAACGCAGCGAAAGUUGUGCUAAUACCGCAUACGCCCUGAGGGGGAAAGUGGGGGAUCGCAAGACCUCACGUUAUUCGAGCGGCCGAUGUCUGAUUAGCUAGUUGGUGAGGUAAAGGCUCACCAAGGCGACGAUCAGUAGCGGGUCUGAGAGGAUGAUCCGCCACACUGGGACUGAGACACGGCCCAGACUCCUACGGGAGGCAGCAGUGGGGAAUUUUGGACAAUGGGCGAAAGCCUGAUCCAGCCAUUCCGCGUGUCUGAAGAAGGCCUUCGGGUUGUAAAGGACUUUUGUCAGGGAGCAAAUCCUACGACCUAAUACGUCGUGGGGAUGAGAGUACCUGAAGAAUAAGCACCGGCUAACUACGUGCCAGCAGCCGCGGUAAUACGUAGGGUGCAAGCGUUAAUCGGAAUUACUGGGCGUAAAGCGUGCGCA